rnacentral:rRNA from 1 species
UAUGACUCUCGACAAUGGAUAUCUUGGCUCUUGCAUCGAUGAAGAGCGCAGCGAAAUGCGAUACGUGGUGUGAAUUGCAGAAUUCCGUGAACCAUCGAAUUUUUGAACGCAAGUUGCGCCCGAGGCCAAUUGGCUAAGGGCACGUCCGCCUGGGCGUCAAGC